AAACUUGAUGUUGGUAAUGGAGAGUCGCUUUGUGGAGUGUGAUUGUGUUAGUAUUAAAAUUUAUAGAAGUUAUAAAGAGUCCACUUGUGGAGCGGUUAUUAGCUAUUGUGAAGUGAAAUACAGUGAACACUAGUAAUUAAAGAGACACUUGAGUGACCCUUGGUUAUUGAUAAGAUUGUAAAGAAGGUUUAUAAUGUGUCUGGUUAUUUUGUUUGUUGUGGCUUAGUGUAAAAGUAUUUACCCUUUGAGAUGUGUAUUGGAGGUAGAAAGGUGUAGGAAGUACAGUCCCUUAAUAUUUCGAAUACGAGAGGAAAUGGUAUAGUGGAGACAUGUAACGUGUGAGAGAGUGUGUAUGAAGUAGUUGGUAUGUGCGUGAUGUGGAGGUUUAUGAAAUUGGAGUAAUGUGGUAAUUAUAAAUGAUGAAAGUAAUGAAGUAAUGAUGUUCUGGUUUUCGAAAGAAUGGAGUAACCGAUGGUGUAUGGUUUGAAGUAGAGUUAAAAACCUGAGUAUGGUGAAGUUGAUGUUAAAUUUUGUAAAGGUGAUAUAAUACGAGGUUGAAGAAUGGUGCAGAGAAGAAAAAAAAAGGUUGUGUCAGUGUAGAGGUUAAUGUUUAGAUGAGGAAAUAAAACAAAUCCCCAGAGAAAAUGUAAAAAAAUUAGGAAUAAGAUGUGGUAGUGAAGAGGUGUGAUGAAGUGAAGUCGAAUUGCUAAUUUUGGUGGUGAAUGGUUUGUUAACUAAUGUUGCCUUUGUACGUCCUGCCUACAAGAUUUGAGUUUGGACAGUUAGUGAUACAGUGAUCUAGUAGUGUGUGUGACUUGACGAAAUGAUAAUCCAUAGAGGGAAUAUGUAUUGUCCCAGAGAGUAAAAUAUCCUUAGAAAUUGGCAGAGAGAUGUACGAAUAGAAGACCAAUCAAAUAUUAAUUCACUUUGGAUGAGGUAGCGAGGAUGAGGGAAUUGAAAGCGAGUAUAGAAAGU
rnacentral:lncRNA from 1 species